rnacentral:rRNA from 1 species
UGGUGUUGAAGGCCCUGCAAAGCAGCAUCGCGGUGGCGGAGCGUCGUUUGCGACGCCCAACACACAAAACAAGCGGUGAGUGCUUUGGGGUGGGGUGACUGCGUACCUUUUGUAUAAUGGGUCAGCGACUUAUAUUCUGUAGCAAGGUUAACCGUAUAGGGGAGCCGAAGGGAAACCGAGUCUUAACUGGGCGUUAAGUUGCAGGGUAUAGACCCGAAACCCGGUGAUCUAGCCAUGGGCAGGUUGAAGGUUGGGUAACACUAACUGGAGGACCGAACCGACUAAUGUUGAAAAAUUAGCGGAUGACUUGUGGCUGGGGGUGAAAGGCCAAUCAAACCGGGAGAUAGCUGGUUCUCCCCGAAAGCUAUUUAGGUAGCGCCUCGUGAACUCAUCUUCGGGGGUAGAGCACUGUUUCGGCUAGGGGGUCAUCCCGACUUACCAACCCGAUGCAAACUGCGAAUACCGAAGAAUGUUAUCACGGGAGACACACGGCGGGUGCUAACGUCCGUCGUGAAGAGGGAAACAACCCAGACCGCCAGCUAAGGUCCCAAAGUCACAGUUAAGUGGGAAACGAUGUGGGAAGGCUCAGACAGCCAGGAUGUUGGCUUAGAAGCAGCCAUCAUUUAAAGAAAGCGUAAUAGCUCACUGGUCGAGUCGGCCUGCGCGGAAGAUGUAACGGGGCUAAACUGUGCACCGAAGCUGCGGCAGCGACGCUUAUGCGUUGUUGGGUAGGGGAGCGUUCUGUAAGCCUGCGAAGGUGUCCUGUGAGGGAUGCUGGAGGUAUCAGAAGUGCGAAUGCUGACAUAAGUAACGAUAAUGCGGGUGAAAAGCCCGCUCGCCGGAAGACCAAGGGUUCCUGUCCAACGUUAAUCGGGGCAGGGUGAGUCGACCCCUAAGGCGAGGCCGAAAGGCGUAGUCGAUGGGAAACGGGUUAAUAUUCCCGUACUUGGUGUUACUGCGAAGGGGGGACGGAGAAGGCUAUGUUGGCCGGGCGACGGUUGUCCCGGUUUAAGCGUGUAGGCUGGUUUUCCAGGCAAAUCCGGAAAAUCAAG